AAAACCCUGCUGUGUUCGCGGAUGUGUCGGCGCGCAUCACGGCAGACAGAGCGAUGCGACCCGAGAAGUGUUAAGGGGGGGGGGGGGUGCUGAGCGAUUACAUAUAUCUCUUGUUCUGCCUGUUUUGUGAUAUACAUGCCUAAAAGGCGCCUAAUAUUUCUAGACUGAAAUAAUAUCGGCAUUAUAAUUAUAACUAUGAGGAUUUUUUUUGGUGCCGAUUUUGUGGAGCCCCCUCAGGACUUGGUGCCCUACGCGCAGCGCGAAGUGCGCUAUGGGAGCGGCGGCGCUGAUCACAACUCUGAUCAAAACAUAAACUAAUACUACAAGAGGGCGCCCCAUUUGACAUUGUUUUGUUUGGCGGUCAGAAAAAUAGGUCAGAUAAAAGAAUAACACGUAAUUUAAAUCAUAAAUAUUUUUAUAUUAAUUUCAAACUUCCAAAUUGAAAAUUAAAAACAUUUUAUUUAUUUAUUGUAAAUGACCUCUCGCGGCCCACCUGCAGUACCUUCGCGGCCCACCAGUGGGCCGCGGCCCACAGUUUGGGAAUCGCUGGUGUAGCCCAUUUCUUUUUUUUGAUUGGCUGAUAAGUGGCACCUCACAGCAGAACUCCAGGGGAGCGCUUGAUUCCUCCAUGGUGAGGGCAGCGCGGCCAGCUCAUGUUUGCGUGCUGCGGUACAUUAAAACAUUAAAUAGCCGAGAGGUUUUUUUCAGCGUGAGAAAUACGAUGUGUGGCGGGAGUGCGUGACUUAAGACCGAAAUGCGUGACACUUGAGAGCCCAGACACUAGUGAAGCUGUCCUCAACCUGCGUUUCCUCUGGGCAGGAUUACACAGCUAGCUUACAUUUUCUUUAUGAAUAAAGAUGAAUUAUUAUAUGGCAACAACAGUACAAGCGUUCUGAUUGGCUAAUGGGCCACUUCGUUGCACGACAUGAGACCAACAGCCAACUAUCCAGCGUUAGUAUUACAGCCAAACAAACGGUAAAUAAGAAUGUUCGACAGCACGUGGUGCUUGUUGUCAAAUCUAAGAGCCAAUCAGCUCUCUGAUGUGGCCACGGCCAGCCGUUGGUUUCCCAUCAUGCAACGGGGCUCAUCGCUGACAGCAGCGCGAGCUGGAAGUAGACGGACCCGAGUGGGGUCAACGGUUUUCCGUGAGUUAGUGAACCUGUGAAACGUCGAAGUACGAGGAGGAACGUUGGAGUUUAAUAGAGGAGCGCCAACGGAACGGGACGCCAUUUUCAACCCAGAAGUUAAAACGAGCAGGUUGGUUCUCUUUGUUUCUUUAUCACUUUAAACUGAUGGAACCAGUUCUGCAGGAAGUAUUCACAUCAUGUUCUGAGGUAGAGUUACAGGUACUGCAGUACGUAAACACGUCCAUACCUUUUUACUAUGAUACAUCACAAAGGUACUCGUUACCUCAGAGGUACAUAUUGUACUUUUUACUGUACGACACCUCAGAGGUACAUAUUGUACUUGUUACUGUAAUACUGCUAAUAUAAAACUGAAUUAUUGAAGCGACUGUUAUGUUCAAGCUCCUGCAAAUUCACAUUUAUUUAGCCUGAUAUUAAUUGCUUAGAGUUGUUAAAUAUUUCCACUCUGUAAUGAUAUUACUGUUACACUACACUUAUUUAGCUUCAUAUUUAUUGCUUAUACUGUUAAUAUUUCCUCUCUGUUUCUGAUAUAAGACAUUUUUCUAGCUUCUUAUUCAUUUCUUAGACUGUUAAAUAAGUUACACACAGUUGUCUCCAGGAGAAAUGCUGAGGCUGUUGGUGAAGCAGCAAGUCGACGAGGUCGUUGCCGAGGCUUUUGAGCAGUUGGACACGUUGACAGCAGCGUAUGAGGACAUCGUUUCUCGUUUAGGAGAACAUGAGCUACACACAUCAGACGUCCAGCGGCUGUUGGUGAUGAAACAAGAGGUUCCCCCUGAACAGCUGGACUGGAGCUCCAGUCUGGACCAGGAGGACCCAGAGGAAGAGGAAGAGGAAGAGACACCGAAGAGACACUCUGGAGCCAAAACAGGAGUGAAACCAAUCAGUUGUUCAGUUUGUGGGAAAACAUUCAGACAUGCAAGCAGUCUAAAACGACACUCAACUAGUCACACAGAGGAGAAACUAUGCAGUUGUUCAGUUUGUGGUAAAACAUUCAGAGAAGCACGCAAUCUGAAACAACACUCAGCUGUCCACAUGAGAAGAAAACGAUGCAGUUGUUCAGUUUGUGGUAAAACAUUCAGAGACGCACGCAAUCUGAAACGACACUCAGCUGUUCAUACAGGGGAGAAUCUAUGCAGUUGUUCAGUUUGUGGUAAAACAUUCAGAUAUGCAAGCAAUCUGAAACGACACUCAGCUGUUCAUACAGGGGAGAAUCUAUGCAGUUGUUCAGUUUGUGGUAAAACAUUCAGACAAGCACGCAAUCUGAAACAACACUCAGCUGUCCACAUGAGGGAAAAACUAUGCAGUUGUUCAGUUUGCGGUAAAACAUUCAGACAUGCACGCAAUCUGAAACGACACUCAGCUGUUCAUACUGGAAAAACAAAUUAGAUUCCCUCUUCUCCGUGAUUUAAAAAAAUCACAAUUGCAUUGAUGAGAUCAUUAGAAAUAAAUGAGACGUUGUUGAUGUUAGCAGAGUUGUUGUUCAUGAUAAGGUUGAAGAAGUUUUCUUGCUUGGGUUGCUGCAAGUCUUGAACCUAUAUGAUAUAUAUUUAUAUAUAUAUAUAAAUAUAUAUUUCUUUAUAUAAACCUAUAUUUAUAUUUAUUAAAAUAUAUAGAGAGAUUUAUUUUAAAACAUUUAUUUAUAUAUAUAUAUAUUUAUGUAUUUUGUUUCUAUUAUUUCUUUACGUUUCUUUAUAUUAUUUUUGUGACUUUUAUUUCUGUUAAGUUUUGCUGUUUAUUAUUGACAAUGUGCAACUGUUUAAAGACUUGCAACGUCGAUAUCGCUGCUUCCACAACUUCCGGAUAUGGCUCGGGUCAGCUGACCCUGAACUGGCCAAUCAGAAGUGCCUCUCUGUGGUAAAUCCCGUGUUGUUUUGAUAGGGACGCACAGUGCUGAGCGGUACACACCAGAGAGACCGCGGGGAGACAUGGCGGUGGAGACUUCCGUAAGAGGUGGUAUUAUAAAAGUAUUACUCCUUUAUGAUUUAACUAUAAUAUUCUGAUGUACCUGGCUUAAUGCUUUUAUUGUUUUGACUCGUCUUUAUCUAUUAUUAUUUAUUUUUGCAUUGUGUCUUUAUGUAAAGCCUCAAUGUUCUCUAUUUACAUGCUUAAAGGUAAGUUUAUGAUAAUAAACACAUUAUUAUAAACAGAGUAUUUUUGCCACAGCUGAAGCUGAAGUUUUGUGAUGGUCUAAAAAUAAUAAUAAAAUACUCUGCUUUAAAUGGUAA